ACGCAGGAUAGCUGAGUUGGUAAAAGCAUGGGACUCUUAAUCUCAGGGCUGUGGGUUCAAGCCCCAUGUUGCGCA